ensembl:misc_RNA
CUGACAGCCCUUGAGACAAAAUCCUCUCUAUCCCCACAACAGGUACAGCACAGGCGGCAGCAGCAGUGCAAGCUCCAAUUCCACAGUAUUCCUCAUUAAUGUAUGUAACCUAGCCCUGACGGGACCUACUCUGGGGUGAGAAGGGAAUUCAGUCACCAUGGCUCAUUCAUUCCUUGGCCUCU